GACGAACGCUGGCGGCGUGCCUAAUACAUGCAAGUCGAACGCAGUGGGGACGGGUGAGUAACACGUGGGUAACCUCCCAUCAGAGGGGAUAACACUUGGAAACAGGUGCUAAACCGAUACUGAUGGAUGAACCCGCGGUGCAUUAGCUAGUUGGUGGGGUAACGGCUCACCAAGGCCACGAUGCAUAGCGGACCGGAGAGGGUGAUCGGCCACACUGGGACUGAGACACGGCCCAGACGCCUACGGGAGGGAGCAGUAGGGGAUCUUCGGCGUAGGGCGAAAAUCUGACCGAGCAACGCCGCGUGAGUGAAGAUGGUUUUCGGAUCGUAAAACUCUGUUGUUAGAGAAGCGGUAUCUAACCAGAAAGCCGCGGCUAACUACGUGCCAGCAGCCGCGGUAAUUC
rnacentral:rRNA from 1 species